CACCCUCAGCAUGGACAAAGAGACACCUUGGUGGUGUUGUUCUUACAUCAGUCAGGGGUAGAGCAGAUGGCAGUCCUUUGUUCAUUCUAGCUUGGUGCCCUGCUUAGUGGGCAAAGCUAUCUUAUGCCUAGGACUCAUAA